UACGAAGGACCCAAGCGUUAUCCGGAUUUAUUGGGUUUAAAGGGUGCGUAGGCGGGUUGUUAAGUCAGUGGUGAAAGCUCCGAGCCUAACUCGGAAACUGCCAUUGAUACUGACGAUCUUGAGUACAUUUGAAGUGGGCGGAAUGUGUCAUGUAGCGGUGAAAUGCUUAGAUAUGACACAGAACACCGAUUGCGAAGGCAGCUCACUAAACUGUAACUGACGCUGAGGCACGAAAGCGUGGGGAGCAAACAGG
rnacentral:rRNA from 1 species